rnacentral:misc_RNA from 1 species
UCUCCGUAGGUGAACCUGCGGAGGGAUCAUUACUGAGCGAGGGUUUAACCGCCCGACCUCCAACCCUUUGUGAAUCGUACUCGUUGCUUCGGGGGCGACCCUGCCGUUCGGCGCGGCGCCCCCGGAGGCUCAUCAAACACUGCAUCUCUGCGUCGGAGUUAAAGUAAAUUAAACAAAACUUUCAACAACGGAUCUCUUGGUUCCAGCAUCGAUGAAGAACGCAGC